UACGGAGGAUGCGAGCAUUAUCCGGAUUUAUUGGGUUUAAAGGGUGCGUAGGCGGAUCGUUAAGUCAGUGGUCAAAUUGAGGGGCUCAACCCCUUCCCGCCAUUGAAACUGGCGAUCUUGAGUGGAAGAGAAGUAUGCGGAAUGCGUGGUGUAGCGGUGAAAUGCAUAGAUAUCACGCAGAACCCCGAUUGCGAAGGCAGCAUGCCGGCUUCCGACUGACGCUGAAGCACGAAAGCGUGGGGAUCGAACAGG
rnacentral:rRNA from 1 species